rnacentral:rRNA from 1 species
AUGACCUCCAAACAGGUGGUGUAUAUGAAUCAAGGUCAAGGGGAAACAAGCUAUGCUCGCAACUCCGGUAUUCAGAAUGCUGAGCAAAAGAGGUUGAAGCCGAUGAUAGAAGCAGCCGUUGCUGAGUUAUGCAGCAGCACAAGCACCAGCGCCUUAUUGCCAACGAAGAUUGUGGUUGCCUACCUGGGGUGCUCCUCCGGUCCAAAUGUGCUAGCACUGGUGUCGACCGCCAUCGACGCCAUCCACAGUCACUGCUUCCAGUUCUUACAGCGACCACCAGAAGCUCAACGACCUGCCUGA